GUAACAAAUUACUUUUUAGACAUUUUACGACUUCGGGUGUGUUCUUAAAUUCAAUGUGGAGUGCGCUCCUAAAUUCGGAGCAUUGUCGGAUUGUCUGUUUGUAAAUCCAGAGCGUUUCGCUCUCAAAACGCACACUGGACGCUCGGGAUGUUUAGGGUUGCUUUGAACAUUCUGACCUUACAACUGCAGUCAAGCACCCAAGCUAACGCUGGCUAGCUUGCUAGCUCCUUCCAGACACAAAUGAGACCACUGACCAUUUUACUCGCCAUAAUAGUACGGUUAAUAUGAGUAUUCGAACACAGCAUUUGUCUGGAAAUAAAAUAAACUUCUCAACUGCGUUACUCAUUCCAGUCAGCAGAUGGCGAUGUGCGUCUUUCGGGCGAUGCUGCUCAUGUGACGUAAAUUCUAGUGGACGGGACCAGAUGCUUCUUCAACAACAACAGCUAUCGUUAGGUUGAUAGCCAACAUAGCCGAAACACUCAAGCGCUUUACUGUCGGUUGUUUUGGUGUAUAUUAAUCACAGUGUUUUAUCUACUUGUUACCCCAUUUAAUGUCAUACUUUGUUGUUAGUCAGCUAAGUGUCUGGUUAAGUUAGCACUAAUUUAGCUAGCUUUUAUCCCCGACCAUGAGCUCACUAAACUAUUCUCCCCCUGUUUAAAAAAGGUCUGCUGGACGGAGAAAGAGGGUCUGUGGCUGAACAUUGUCGUGAAAGAAGAGAAGGGACAGGUUGAUGUCACAGUGAAAAAAUAAGUAGAGGGCGAGGCUGUUACAGUGAAAGAAGAGGAAGAUGCGUUCAGAAUUAAAGACGAGGAGGAUGUUGCCAUGAAAGAGGCUACUGCAGUUCAUGGAGUGAAGAAGGAAGGGGAGAUUACUGUCACAUUGACAGAGGAGACCGGAUAUCUAAUUAACACUGGAGAGGGACCUGACUCUCGCCAUGACAGCAGGAAGAGUCCUUCAGUCCUUUUACCAAGUUAGGGAGCCUGAAAAACCAUGAGAGAACACACACAGGAGAAAAGCCUCACCACUGCGCCCAGUGUGGAAAAAGUUUUAUUUGGUUAUGUGACCUGAAAAGGCAUGAGAGGACACACACAGGAGAAAAACCUUUCCAAUGUUCCCAGUGUGGAAAGAGUUUUAACGAUAUAGGGUACUUAUUAAUACAUCAAAGAAUACACUCUGGAGAGAAGCGUUACUGCUGCUUCAAAUGUGGGACAACUUUUACCUGGUUAGGGAGCCUGAAAACGCAUGAGAGGGCACACACAGGAGAAAAGCCUUUCCAAUGUUCCCAACCGUGGAAAGCGUUUUACCCAGGUAGGGGCCCUAAAUAAGCACAAGGACACACAGGAGAGAAGCCCUUCCAAUGCUCUCUGUGUGGAAAGAGUUUUACUCAGUUAGGGGGCCUGUAUAGGCAUGACAGGGCACACACAGAAGGGGAUAAGACCUACCACUGCUACCUGUGUGGAAAUAUAUUUAGCCGGUUACGGUAUCUGAAUAAGCAUGAAAGGAUACAUACACAGGAGGAGAAGACAUAUCACUGCUCUCAUUGUGAAAAUACAUUUUCCCGGUUAGAGGACCUGAAAUCACAUGAGAAAAUAGAAAGGCUGUGUUCAGACUUAUGUUUUUGACUUGAGAAUGUGUUUUUGUUUAUGCCUUAUGAAAUCAAAUUGUAUAUUUGAAAGCUUGCUUGAAAAUAGUCUUAUUUUUGUAUUAUUGUUUGACAUGAUUAUAUAUAAAUUCAGAUGUAUUAAGUUUGUAUUAUGAUAUAUUGAAUACAAGAAUAAACCCCUUAGAUAUUCAUUUUAUGAUUUGUAUAUUUUAAAAUGUAAAUUGUUAUUUAAGUAACAACUUGCACAGGGCUUGGCUAUUCUAAGCCAGGAGGCUGAUAGGCUCCUGUUCCGAUCUCCUAUUUCUGUAGUUUGAGGCAGCUUGAUGUACAAGUACACCCCCUGGACAGGACGUUAGUUUAUACAAUUAUUAUAUAGAUUAAUGGUAUUUUGCAUUUAUUAAUUCUAACCUUGAAAACCUCUUGAAUUGAAAAUAUGAUUUGGAUAUUGCUAAAUUAAUUUGAUUGGAUAAAUUGUUUGGAUGUUGAAAAUGUAUUUGAUAAUGAUUUGGAUAUUUAAAAAUCUAAAUGGUUAAAUCAAUGAAUAGUGUGCAUUUCUUGUCAAUGUAUUUUAUUGAGUUAAUUUGUGUAUUAGUCGUCAAGCUAAAUGUGUAUGAAAUUGUGAUGUUGUUCUGAGAACAUUGAUAAGUUGUUGAAAUGAAUGUUCUCAUCAUAUUAUUAUACCAUGUCAGAGAAAAUUCUCACUCAUUUAAAGUAUGCACUAAUCAA